CUUUCGUCUUGUAAUUGGAAUGAUGGCGACUUAAACCCUCGCCAGAGUAACAAUUGGAGGGCAAGUCUGGUGCCAGCAGCCGCGGUAAUUCCAGCUCCAAUAGCGUAUAUUAAACUUGUUGCAGUUAAAAAGCUCGUAGUUGAAUUUCUGCGUUGCGUUUUUCUUGCUUUUUGCUUGACUUUCGCUUCGCUUUUUUGUUUUACUUUGAGAAAAUUAGAGUGUUUAUCGCAGACUUUUGUCUUGAAUACUUCAGCAUGGAAUAAUAGAGUAGGACCUUGGUUCUAUUUUGUUGGUUUUUGAGCCUUGGUAAUGGUUAAUAGGAACG
rnacentral:rRNA from 1 species